rnacentral:lncRNA from 1 species
GAGUGUUUUAUCCCUUUGUAUUUAUAGGCUGUAUAUCUUUUAUGAAUUGAUAUACUUAGCUCACUAUAAACAAUGCUCUGAUACCAAUCUGUCACACCCCAAAACCGGAACGGCGGAAACGUUCUGGGGUGGAUGACGUCAUGUCAAGUAUCACAACACAUGCAUUAUAGUAAUCAAAGUACAACAACCAUUGCAUUAAUAGUAAUAGUUUUACAUGGUUUACAUUACAAUACACCAAAGUAAUACAAGUAAUAGAAUAAGUAUAGCUUGGAACUAAGCUAUCUUCAUCAACAGCUCCGGGAUUGUACCUGUCUAAUGCUGACCUCUAAGCUAUCUUCAUCAACAACUCCGGGAUUGUACCUGUCUAAUGCUGACCUGAGUAUACAAGUUAUUUGAAAAGCGAGUAUCAGCAUUUUUACAAAUGCUGGUGAGUUCAUAAGUAUUUAGUGUCAUUUUAUCCAAAUAACUUUAACAAAAGUGGUAGUUUUAGAGUGUCCAUUACAUUAGUGUCUUUUCUAGAAAAUCCUAUAUUUUCUUUAGUAAA